CACGUAGGGGGCGAGCGUUGUCCGGAUUCAUUGGGCGUAAAGGGCGCGCAGGCGGCCCGGAAAGUCGGAUGUGAAAACUCGAGGCUCAACCUCGAGCGUGCACUCGAUACUGCCGGGCUUGAGGCAGGUAGGGGAGAUUGGAAUUCCUGGUGUAGCGGUGAAAUGCGCAGAUAUCAGGAGGAACACCGGUGGCGAAGGCGGAUCUCUGGGCCGGUCCUGACGCUGAGGCGCGAAAGCUAGGGGAGCGAACAGG
rnacentral:rRNA from 1 species